CAGGGGGACGGGUGAAUAACACGUGGGAACUGGGCCUGUAAUUUGGGGGGAUCUCAGGAAACGGGGCUAAUACCGAAUAAUCCACCAGACCACAUGGUCCGGUGUUGAAAGGCGGUUCGGCUGUCACUACAGGAUGGGCCCGCGGCGCAUUGGCUAAUUGGUGGGGUAACGGGCCACAAGGCGAACGAUGCGUAGCCGACUGAAAAGGUGAUCGGCAAACUGGGACUGAAGAAACGGCCAGAAUCCUACGGGAAGGCAACAAGUAGGGAAUCUUCCAACAAUUGGACGAAAGUCUGAUGGAGCAAAGCCGGUGAGUCGAAGAAGGUUCUCGGGAUUCGUAAAACUCUGUCGGUGAAGGGAAAGAACCAAGGUUACCCGGAAGUAACUGGCGGGUACCUUGGACGGGUACCUCCAUUCAGAAAAGGCCAACGGGGUUAAACUACGGUGGCCANNGACAAGACCGGCGGGUAAUUAACGUUCAANGGUUGGCCAAAAGCGGUUGUCCCGGGAAAUUCCAUUUGGGGCGUUAAAGCGCCGCCGCCAGGGCAGGUCCCUUUAAGGUCUCGGAAUGUUGAAAGCCCCAAGGGGUUCAAACCCGGU
rnacentral:rRNA from 1 species